UACGUAGGUGGCAAGCGUUGUCCGGAUUUACUGGGCGUAAAGAGCGCGCAGGCGGUCGGAUAAGUCGAAUGUGAAAGCCCCCGGCUCAACUGGGGAGGGUCAUUCGAUACUGUUCGACUCGAAGGCAGGAGAGGGAAGUGGAAUUCCCGGUGUAGUGGUGAAAUGCGUAGAUAUCGGGAGGAACACCAGUGGCGAAGGCGGCUCACUGGCCCGGUACUGACGCUGAGGAGCGGAAGCGUGGGGAGCGAACAGG
rnacentral:rRNA from 1 species